CUGGUUUUGGAAUGAAUUAAUCAGACUAAUAUUAAGCUUGUGGAAAGGCCUUCCCAAAACCCCAAAACCCCGACCACAACAAACCAAAAUUUGUGGUUUACACUUAACGGCUGGGUCCAUGUCAGGAAACCAUCCAAUUUAAAUGAACUCUACCAAUUCUGCAAAGCCUCUGUCAGCACAGUGAGUGUGUGUUGGUAAAUCAUCUGUUGAGAAACACACAAAAGAGAAAACUAGACAGACAAACACAGACGAUAAAGCCAACGUAGACUAAACAAGAGACACAAGUUGGUGAACAACUAACAGCUGGCCACCACUUCCACCCAGUGACUGUUUUUGUGGCUCUUUCCAGCCUGUCACACAGCCAGACUCCUCGGCCAUGGAGAAGUGCCCAGAAGUGAUGUGUGCUGUUCACAUCUGAUUACCACCAGGGCAAUAACGGAUAAUCCACCGCUACUAAUUUUCUACAACAUUUAUGCUAAUUGUUCCUGUUUGCUCUCUGACUUUGGUGCCUCUCCAAAUAAAAUAAUUGUUUUCACUCCUGAAAUUAUACAGCAAAUUAAAAACUAUUUUUUUCAUUGCCUGUGUUAGUUUUUUAUUUACCAAUAUGG